CAAGUCGAGCGUGCCCGUGGCUUCGGCCACAAUGGGAAGGCGGCAGACGGCUGAGUAACGCGUGAGUAACCUGCCCUCUGGUGGGGUAUAGCCUCGAGAAAUUGAGGUUAAUCCCGCAUAAGACCCCUAAAACCCUGGUUUGGGGAUGAAAGGCCUGAUUCGUUGGGUCGCCGGAGGAGGGGCUCGCGUCCUAUCAGGUAGUUGGUGGGGUAAUGGCCUACCAAGCCGAUGACGGGUAGCUGGUCUGAGAGGAUGACCAGCCAGAGGGGGACUGAGACACGGCCCCCACUCCUACGGGAGGCAGCAGCAGGGAAUCUUGGGCAAUGGGCGAAAGCCUGACCCAGCGACGUCGCGUGGGGGAAGAAGGCCCUAGGGCUGUAAACCCCUUUUCUAAGGGAAGAGUAAGGACGGUACCUUGGGAAUAAGCCCCGGCUAACUACGUGCCAGCAGCCGCGGUAAUACGUAGGGGGCGAGCGUUACCCGGAAUCACUGGGCGUAAAGAGCGCGUAGGCGGCUGAGUAAGUCUCUUGUGAAAGCUCCCGGCUUAACUGGGAGAGGUCAAGGGAAACUACUCGACUAGAGGGCAGUAAAGGAAGGCGGAAUUCCCGGUGUA
rnacentral:rRNA from 1 species